rnacentral:rRNA from 1 species
CCUACGGGAGGCAGCAGUGAGGAAUAUUGGUCAAUGGACGAAAGUCUGAACCAGCCAAGUCGCGUGAAGGAUGACUGCCCUAUGGGUUGUAAACUUCUUUUAUAUGGGAAUAAAACGUUCCACGUGUGGGAUUUUGUAUGUACCAUAUGAAUAAGGAUCGGAUAACUCCGUGCCAGCAGCCGCGGUAAUACGGAGGAUCCGAGCGUUAUCCGGAUUUAUUGGGUUUAAAGGGAGCGUAGGUGGAUUGUUAAGUCAGUUGUGAAAGUUUGCGGCUCAACCGUAAAAUUGCAGUUGAAACUGGCAGUCUUGAGUACAGUAGAGGUGGGCGGAAUUCAUGGUGUAGCGGUGAAAUGCUUAGAUAUCACGAAGAACUCCGAUGGCGAAGGCAGUUCACUGGACUGCAACUGACACUGAGGCGCGAAAGUGUGGGUAUCAAACAGGAUUAGAUACCCGAGUAGUC